GUGCCAGCCGCCGCGGUAAAACCAGCACCUCAAGUGGUCAGGAUGAUUAUUGGGCCUAAAGCAUCCGUAGCCUGUUCUGUAAGUUUCCGGUUAAAUCCAUUAGCUCAACUAAUGGGCUGCCGAAAAUACUGCAAAACUAGGGAGUGGGAGAGGUAGACGGUACUCGGUAGGAAGGGGUAAAAUCCUUUGAUCUAUUGAUGACCACCUGUGGCGAAGGCGGUCUACCAGAACACGUUCGACGGUGAGGGAUGAAAGCUGGGGGAGCAAACCGGAUUAGAUACCCGGGUAGUCCCAGCUGUAAACGAUGCAGACUCGGUGAUGCCCUGGCUUGUGGCCAGUGCAGUGCCGCAGGGAAGCCGUUAAGUUUGCCGCCUGGGAAGUACGUACGCAAGUAUGAAACUUAAAGGAAUUGGCGGGGGAGCACCACAAGGGGUGAAGCCUGCGGUUCAAUUGGAGUCAACGCCAGAAAUCUUACCCGAAGAGACAGCAGAAUGAAGGUCAAGCUGGAGACUUUACCAGACAAGCUGAGAAGUGGUGCAUGGCCGUCGCCAGCUCGUGCCGUGAGAUGUCCUGUUAAGUCAGGUAACGAGCGAGAUCCCUGCCUCUAGUUGCCACCAUUACUCUCCGGAGUAGUGGGGCGAAUUAGCGGGACCGCCGUAGUUAAUACGGAGGAAGGAAGGGGCCACGGCAGGUCAGUAUGCCCUGAAACUUUGGGGCCACACGCGGGCUGCAAUGGUAGUGACAGUGGGUUCCGAAUCCGAAAGGUGGAGGUAAUCCUCAAACACUACCACAGUUAUGAUUGAGGGCUGCAACUCGUCCUCAUGAAUAUGGAAUCCCUAGUAACUGCGUGUCAUUAUCGCGCGGUGAAUACGUCCCUGCUCCUUGCACACACCGCCCGUC
rnacentral:rRNA from 1 species